rnacentral:lncRNA from 1 species
AAACAAUUAUUUGAAGAUUUAUUUCGAUUGUAUAAAGAAUGACAGUUGGCGAAUCUCAAGAUCAACCACUGAGGAUUGUUUGGUUUGAUGCAAUGAUGUUAAACAGUGAAAUGAUUUUCCAGGAAGGUCUAUACACAACAACCUGGAUUUUAUGGGGUGAUGAAAGAACUAUGAAUAUACAAAUGGGAAUGAAACAGAAGGAAUUAAUAUGUUCUAC